UAAAAAGAGCAACGCUUCACUGAUCCCACUUACUGAAAUCAGCUACUCACUCUUGAUCCCACCGCUGGAUUAGAGCACACCAUUGAAUCAAAAUCCAUACACUGUGAAUGCAUGAUAAAUUCCAAACUCGCAACACAACAUUGGUUCACUCUAGAGGCUGAAUAUUCUCCAAAUAAGAACACCGAUGCAACACAACAUAUUCAUGCUUAAUUAUGACUUGCCAUUGC
rnacentral:lncRNA from 1 species